rnacentral:lncRNA from 1 species
AAAAAAAAAAACUUAAUUUAAUAGCCGAAUUUUUUAUCCCGAAUUUUUAAUUGGUGAACGUAUAGUAUCCGUAUAAAUCACGUAUCCGAAUAAUUGAUGAAUCCGUUUUUUAGCCGAAUUUUUCAACGAAUUUAAAAAUUAGAAGACAAAUUUUAUCCGAAUUAUACCCGUACCGAAUUUUUGCCAAAUCCGAAUUAACUAACUAUGCCCGCGACCUCGUUCCGAUCAUACGCCGCUAGUCCUUUCGGCUUACACAUACAUUCCUUCGGCCAACUUGUUUAGAUUC